GCGUCAUCCCGCUUCAUAUACAGUAUAGUCAACCUACGUAGGGUGUAUAGCUGUAUUUGGGAUGAGACCUUCGCUGUAACUUCCUUGUUAUUAUCAUAACAUACGGAGAAGCAGAAAAUAACCAGCCAUAAGUGAAACGGGUAUGUGCCUUUCAAGGCUCGUCAUCCACUCGAAGGGGAGAAGGCAGGGCCACAUAGCCUAAGGCUGCACUGCCCUGUGUCUGUCCUCGUUCUCCUUUAUACCCAUCUCUCGGUGCGUGAGUGGCGAUGCUGUGCUGGGGCAGUUCCAAUUGGGGUCAGCUCGGCCUCGCUGUAUCCGAGGCCGCUGUGUUUGAGCCGCGGAGCUGCUGCGUGUUCGACGGCAGAGGGCUGAAAGAAGCGGCAUGCGGCGGGCAACACUCGCUGUUCCUGAUGCACGAUGGGAGCGUCUACACGUGCGGGUCCAACAGUCGCGGACAGCUGGGCCACGAGAAGCCUGGAGUCAAGCCUGAGCUGGUCGGGGCGCUGGAUGCCCAGAAGAUUGCAGGCGUGGCAUGUGGGCAGGCCCACUCUUUGGCACUGAGUGAGCAAGGGCAGGUGUUCGCGUGGGGCUCGGGCGAGUCGGGGCAGCUCGGUCUCGGCACUGCAGAGGAAGCCGUCCGAGUUCCCCGAUUGAUCAAGAAGUUGUGUGAACAUCGGAUCUCACAAGUCAUGUGUGGCAACCAGCACUGUAUCGCACUUUCUAAAGAUGGUCAGUUGUUCACGUGGGGUCAGAACUCGAGCGGUCAGCUGGGAUUGGGGAAAGGUGAGCCGAGCUCUCUGUCUCCUCAACCCCUCAAGUCUCUGUGUGGGAUCCCACUGAGUCAGAUCAGCGCCGGAGGAGACCACAGCUUCGCCCUGUCUCUCUCCGGAGCCGUGUUCGGCUGGGGCAGGAACAGCGCCGGGCAGCUGGGCCUCAACGAUGAGCAAGAUCGGGCUGUUCCCUGCCACAUUAAAUUCUUGCGCUCACAGAAAGUGGUCUACAUCUGCUGUGGGGAGGAACACACAGCCGCUCUGACCAAGGAUGGAGGUCUGUUUACGUUUGGAAACGGGUCGAGAGGACAGCUGGGACACGACUCUACCAACAAUGAGCCUCUGCCACGCAGGGUUUUGGAGCUCAUGGGCACCGAGGUGUCUCAAAUCGCCUGUGGCAGACACCACACGCUGGCGUUCGUGUCCUCCACCGGCUUGGUGUACGCCUUCGGCUGUAACGCUCAGGGCCAGCUCGGCUUAGGGACCAGAGGAAACGCCAUGAUCCCCCUUCCAGUCCGAAACAUCCAGCCUCCUUUUCUCACCAACACACAAACAGAUCAGUACAGCAUCAGCAGGAUCCACUGCGGCGGCGAUCACAGCUUUCUGGUGCUGUCACGUGGCAAGAGUUGCCCGGAGGACUUCCGCGUUAUCAACGCGUCGAAAAGCAUUUCCCUGAUUAAUAAGGAGAGUCUAAACAGUUGGAGGCUGAAGCUCCUGGACAGCACCGACUCCAGCAUCACAAAUGACAUCAUUCUGCUGCUGUCCUCGACCGCAUGUUGGAACGCCAGCUUCCUGGACCAGAGUGAUGAUGGUCAUUUUAAAACCAACCCCAAAGUCCCCGGAAUCGACCUCAACUCGGUCAGGCUGCUGUUCGAGAUGCUGAUGAAGCCAGCCUACUCACGGCUGCUGGAGCAGACCACGAAGAGCUUCGAGAGUUUGCUGAUCCCUCAGCUCCCCUGCUCUCCUCCUGAUGUAGAGGCCAUGCGCAUUUACCUGAUCCUCUCCGAGUGUCCGGCUCUGCACGACUCCAAAAACUACAUCUCCCUGACCAUCCCGCUCGCCAUGGCCAUCCUCCGGCUGGACGCCAACCCCAGCAAAGUUCUCGAUAACUGGUGGUCACUGCUGGAUGGUGAGGUCUUCUGCAGGUUGGUUGAGAUGUAUAAGAGCAUUGUGGUGUUCCUGCUCACCGGUGGCAAGGCCCUCCUCAUUCCUGUGUUUCUGGAGAGCUACUUUAACGCUACGCUGAAACUGCUAGAGAAACUACACAAGGUGAACCAGAAAGCCCACCAUGUGGAGUACAACCGCUUCUACAUCCCCGACAUCACCAGCCUGGUGGACAUCCAGGAAGACUACCUCAAAUGGUUCCUAAGCAAAGCCGAGAUUAAAAUGCGAUCUCCUCCAGUACAGAAUUCAGUUACGUUAUGUGCCUAUCCGUUCAUAUUGAACGCUCAAGCUAAGACAACCAUGUUGCAGACAGACGCUGAGCUGCAGAUGCAGAUGGCAGUGAGCGGUGCCAACCUGCACAACGUGUUCAUGCUGUUAACCCUGGAACCCUUGCUGGCACAAAACCCGUUUCUCGUCCUGCACGUGCGGAGGGAUCACCUGGUCAGCGACGCGCUGCGUGAGCUCACCAUCUAUAACGAUGUGGACUUGAAGAAGCCCCUAAAGGUGAUUUUUGACGGAGAGGAGGCAGUGGAUGCAGGUGGAGUCACUAAAGAGUUCUUCUUGCUGCUGCUGAAAGAGUUGAUGGAUCCAGUCUAUGGCAUGUUCACCCAUUACCCAGAAUCCAACUUGCUCUGGUUUUCCGAUAAAUGUUUUGUUGAACACAACUGGUUCCACUUGAUCGGGAUCGUCUGUGGCCUGGCUAUCUACAACUCCACCGUUGUUGACCUGCACUUCCCUCUCGUGCUCUACAAGAAGCUCCUAGAUGUUCCUCCUGUGCUGGAUGAUCUGAAGGAGCUCUCCCCUACUGAGGGCAGGAGUCUCCAGCAGCUGUUGGACUAUGACGAGGAAGACCUAGAGGAUGCCUUCUGUCUCAACUUUGCUAUUAGCCGAGAGUAUUACGGGGUAACGGAGGUGAAGGAGCUCGUCCCUGGAGGAGAGAACAAAACAGUAGACAAGUCGAACAGAGAGGAGUUUGUGCAGGCCUAUCUGCACUACAUGUUCACUGAGUCGGUGCGAGAGCUGUACUCUGCGUUUGCCAGCGGUUUCCUGAAGGUGUGUGGUGGCCGGAUUCUCUCUCUGUUCCAGCCCUCUGAGCUCAUGGCCAUGGUGGUGGGCAACAGCAGCUACAACUGGGAGGAGCUGGAGAAGAAUGCGAGCUACAAAGGCGAGUUCUCGGCCUCCCAUCCUACGGUGCGGAUGUUUUGGGACGUGUUCCACGAGUUUCCCUUGGAGAAUAAGAAACAGUUUUUAUUGUUCCUUACAGGCAGUGACCGGAUCCCCAUCCACGGCAUGUCCAGCCUGCGCAUCAUCAUCCAGUCCACGUCGGCGGACGAGCACUUCCUGCCCGUCGCCCACACCUGCUACAACCUGCUGGACCUGCCGUGCUACAGGAGCAGAGAGACGCUGCGCUUGAGGCUCACGUGCGCCAUCGAGCAGUACGAAGGCUUCAGCCUGGUGUGAGAACUCGGCUGCUCUUUCACACACACUCGCACUUUCACCGAGGACGGAACGACGUCUGAUCCCCCACGCAGAGCGGCUCUGACAGUGUGAGUAGGAACGUAUACAGACCCUGAACUCUGAACUCCGCUGAACUCUGAGUGGAAGAAAUCUUUUAUUCAAUUUUAUUUUUGGGGUGUUAGUGCGAGGAUUCCUGUCGUGCACGUUGUUAUCCGGAGCGCUUUUUUUUGCUUUCCUGCUCCUUUCCGAGUUCUGGGAUCAGCGUCAAGAUCGUGUACGUUUAGACGGGCGCUCUACGCUGAGACAGGAAAUAUUUUCGCUCGGUGGUUUGGAGUCACAUUCGGACGCUUGGGUUUUUUUUUUUUUUUGCUUCUGUGCUUGGUGGGAAUGAAAGAACUUGGGAUAAAUCCAGAAACAAGUCCUCUGAGCUUUUGACUGGAGAUGUCCAGACCUGCUGCUGAAGUGACGGAGGACGAAACAAGCCAUUAUCCGGACGCGAGAACCUAUUAAUCCUCUCUGCUUAUGCGUAACUCGACCAGUGAAUUCAUUUACAACUUUGCCUUUAAUACGAGCCACUAGCGAGGAACGCCUACAGCUUUCGUUUAUUCUCCUUUUCCUCACUUUCCCAGCGUGCAUGCAAGUGUGACGUUCCAGAGUGAAAGCUGAGCCUGCUAAUGACUGUUUAUCGCCACAAUAAAUAUGUAUACGGUAAACCCAAAAAUGUUCUUUAUGGUUGGGGGAAGAAGGAAAAAAAAAACAAGCUAAGGAUUUGAAAGCCACAAAUGACCGCAGUAACUGACGGAUGAUUUUUUUUUUUUUCCCCUGUUCGAGGGAGGAGAUAACUGGAGCAAUAACUGGUUUGUGUGUGUGUGUGUGUGUGUGUGUGUGUGUGUGUGUGUGUGUGUGUGUGUGUGUGUGUGUGUGUGUGGUUUCGAUUUGAACGCCGGCCUAUGCACAACCACGGAUCUGUGGAAUAAGCGGAGCAGAACGCUGGUCCUGUGCGUGUAACGAGUCCCGGACGGAGAUUCCUGCUAUAACGCUCCUGAUUUAAACCCGACAGUUAAAGGUCAGUGGCCACCGACCCUGUUCCUGGAGGUGUACCUUCCAAACGUAAUUUGUGCCCAGCUGACCAUCUUAUCAUUGCCUCAGGACGUUGUCGGUUUUCGGUGUUGGAGCAGGAAGUCGCUGGACUGGAGGCGUACAGCACCACUGUGGUGCUCUCUUGUGUAUAUAAAUCUAUUAGUUUGGGUUUAAAAAAAAAAAGCAACACAUCAUUCUGCCGCUAUUGCAUCGAAAUCAGUUUCUUACCGUUCCGAAGAACGUGCAGGGACGGAGAAUGGGACGUUUAAAAGGGAUUUCCAUUCCACAGCCACGACGCUCUGAUGCUCUCAGUACUGGAUCAGAAUGAUUUGGUGUGUAAAGUGACACACGAUGAAGCCAUGUGAUGAUGGUGAUGAUGAUGAGGAAGAAGCCGCAGGAGAGGAACACUGCACACCACGCUCUGGAGACUCGGGCUGCGUUCAGCGUUUCCUCUCGUCACGCUGUGUUCAUUCAUCCACACUGGAACAGCACCAAGCCUUUCUGUCCAGUACCUCACUGUCAACUUCAGCAAACAAGGGCUUCUCAGUGGCUGCUGCUGCAUUAUUUUAGUAAAGUAUAUUUACUUUUUUACCUCUCUCAAAUGGAAUAUAUUGUUUUAUCUAUUUUUUUUUUCCUCCUUCCAGAGCAUUUAAAUUAAAAUGAAAAUUCCACCUCCCCAAA